GGGGGAGGGGGGCAGACAGGGGAAGGGGGCUGCGCAUGCUCCGUCUGCCGCAUAACUGCGGCGUUGCGGCGUGGUGGUUCAGCCGCGGACACGGCCGGGCGGUGGAGGCUUCCUUAGACCCCGCUCUCUGGGAACGACGGGAUCUGGCCAGUCCAGCUUCCAUGCAAUGAAAACCGAACAGCGUCAGCUACUAUGGUUGAGGAGGGCAGCUUUGGCGGGCACCUGGCAUCCAGAGGGGUCAACCUACCACACAGCUGUAACAACAGACUAUCUUCAACAAAGGGAGGAAGGAGAAAUGAAGCAAACUUAAGUGGAAAAGCUGGGCUACGAAAUAGUCAAUAGAUGAUGGAAAGUCAAAGGAAGGGCUUAAGCAGAGCAUUGCAGAUACGGAGCCUGCAAUCCCAUCAGAAGCCUGCACUUAAAGCACCUUAAAGCAACUGUGAGACCAGGCUCUAAAAUUCAUGAAAUGUUUUAGAAGUGUAGAGGAGAAUCAAAACAGACUCAGACAUUAGUCCAGAAUUUCUGGUGUAUACAUACUCAUCUAUGCCUGCAGGGCAGGGGAGAAGUGGGGAGGCGACACACACCUGCAGGGAUGGCCUCUGCAAGAAGAGGACAGGGGAUGCCUCGUGCUGGACAGAGCUGCUACCAGAUGGCUCCAAGAUGAACCCAAUGCUGACAAAAGCUGAGCUCAUCAGUGACACUAGUGGCACCUCUUAGAUAACAUAUUUAAGAAAUGAUAAAAUAUUCUGCAUAGCAGCUGUGAGAGAGAGGAGUGAGAAAAACAUAGGAGAAGCAGCCCUGCAGAAACACCAAGGUCAGUGGAGAAAGAGGGGGAGGAGGUGCUCCAGAUGCGAACAGGAUGGAAUGGCAGAGAGGAGCCGUUAUGGACUGAACACAACCCCCAGUCCUCAUCCUCCUGCACCACUCAGGGGCAAAGAGAGUUGCCAUACAGUCGUAUGUCUCACUGGUCUAUGACAUAGCAGGAAGGGCAGCCUGUGGACCCUGACAUCUUCAUAUUCCAGGCUCAAGGUUAGAAGAGCAAAACCGAGGUGCAAACCUACUUCAUCCAUUUUCUUUCAGGAUCAGUUGACAAAAAUCCAUGAAAGGAACCAUAACUCAUACACAGUCCUUGAAAUGUCACAAAGCUGCAAAAACAAAUGAUGUGUCUUUGCCAGCAUGGUCAGCCAAGGAUCACGACCUCUUUCAUCAUGUCAAUCUACAAAGAACUUUGCUUUCUACCUGUUCAAAAGUUAAAGAAUAAUAGACUUCUGAACUUCAGCUAUCUACCCAAAAUAACUACUUUUAGUAAUGACUUUAAAUGUUGGUUUUGUUUUGUUUUUUUUUCUUUUUCUUCAUUUUCCUCUCCACAGGAAGUUGUUGUUAGAGCGUUCUUUCUGUUACUGCAGCAAUACACAUCAAAACUCUG